AAGUAAGGCUGCAAGUGUGCUUGGUUCUGCAGUGGCUCCUUGCACCCCUGCAGUGCUUGUCAGAGGGUUCUACAUGGGUUUGAGGCCUUGCCCUGUCCUCUCCUUGGAGCUUGACCAUAGAUAUUUCAGACAGUU
rnacentral:snoRNA from 1 species